GAUGUGCUUGUAGAAGGAGCGGGUGAAGUAGCACUCGAGCAGGCGGUUGUCGUAGACGGCCUUAGCCACGAUACGCCCCACGAACUUGAAGUAGCUGAGGUGGUUGGGGUUGCAGUGGGACGAGGGGUUGAUGGUGUAGGUGACGCGGUCGCCCGGCGAGGUGCGGAACAGCGCGUACAUGGGGUUGAACAUCUCCCGUGAGAUGAUCAUGUACCACUCGCGCAGCAGCCCCCCGGCGUCCUGGCCCUCCUCGCCCUCGAACACGAUGUACCUGGGGGGGAGCCGCACCAUGUCGGGGGGGCCGGGCCGCUGCCUGCCCCCCCGACACAACCCCUGACGCCCUCCCUGCCCCCAGCUGAGGGACCCCGGCGUCCAGGGCGGGCGCUCACAAGCGGUUCUUCAUCUCCUCGGGUGACUUGCGGUGCAGCUCGCGGUAGGAGUCCUCGAAGACGUGGUCGCGGCGGACGUGCACGGCCAUGUCCUCCUUGCGCAGCCCCUCAUCCAGGCGCUCCAGCUCCUGCCGGAAAUACUUGCGCUUGACGUCGAAGUCCAGCACACGGAUGUAGUCCACCAGGACAGCGAAGGGGCCGUCGGCCAGGUGAGUGGUCGACUGGCGCAGGAUCUGGUUCAGCACCGUCCGGUGGGUUUCUGGGGUGGGGGAACACGGCGGGUCAGCCUCGAACUUCCCCCGCACCUCCCCAAACCACCACAGUCCCCCCAGAGCCCCCACAGUAUCCCCGGGGCCUCCAGGAGCCCCGCGCCAAUGCCCAACAUCCCCCAAAGCACCAAUUCCCCCCCCCCAAAAGCCCCCGCAGCAGCCCAAGCGCCAGCGGCCCCGGGGCCCCGCUCACCAGCGAAGCGGAGGAACUUCUGGGUGUCGGGGGGGAGGCUGGCCGAGAUGUGCAUGGAGGAGGGCUCGCGGGAGAAGAAGGGGUCGAGUGAGGAGGGGGUGGCGGGCGUCAGCGGGGCCGGCGACAGCGGCGGCGGCUCGUCCUUGAUGUGGGCCAGCUGGCUCUCACGCGUGUCCCGCACUGGCGGCCUCCCCUCCCCCCCCCGCUUCUGCCCCUCUCUGGUCUCUGUGCCCCCUGCUACUCCUGUGCCCCAGAGUCCCAAA
rnacentral:lncRNA from 1 species